rnacentral:rRNA from 1 species
AACUCGAAUUAAUAGGCUCACGGCGUAAAACGUGUUAAGGAUUAUAAGCAUACUAAAGUUAAAAUUUAACCAGGCUGUAAAAAGCUACUGUUAACAUAAAAUAUACCACGAAAGUGACUUUACCAUUUCCGACAACACGAUAGCUGAGAUCCAAACUGGGAUUAGAUACCCCACUAUGCUCAGCCCUAAACGUAAAUAAUUUACACAACAAAAUUAUCUGCCAGAGGACUACUAGCAACAGCUUAAAACUCAAAGGACUUGGCGGUGCUUUAUAUCCCUCUAGAGGAGCCUGUUCUAUAAUCGAUAAACCCCGAUAAACCUCACCACUUCUAGCUAAAU